GACGAACGCUGGCGGCGUGCUUAACACAUGCAAGUCGAACGGAAAGGCCCUGCUUUUGUGGGGUGCUCGAGUGGCGAACGGGUGAGUAACACGUGAGUAACCUGCCCUUGACUUUGGAAUAACUUCAGGAAACUGGGGCUAAUACCGGAUAGGAGCUCCUGCUGCAUGGUGGGGGUUGGAAAGUUUCGGCGGUUGGGGAUGGACUCGCGGCUUAUCAGCUUGUUGGUGGGGUAGUGGCUUACCAAGGCCUUGACGGGUAGCCGGCCUGAGAGGGUGACCGGCCACAUUGGGACUGAGAUACGGCCCAGACUCCUACGGGAGGCAGCAGUGGGGAAUAUUGCACAAUGGGCGGAAGCCUGAUGCAGCAACGCCGCGUGCGGGAUGACGGCCUUCGGGUUGUAAACCGCUUUCGCCUGUGACGAAGCGUGAGUGACGGUAAUGGGUAAAGAAGCACCGGCUAACUACGUG
rnacentral:rRNA from 1 species